GCUUCCGAGUCAAAUGGGACGUACGCGUUGUCUGCAACAAAGCAGCCCUGUAAAUAGAAGUAACAGCGUCAUUGAUGUCUCUGAAACUAUGCAAUAAAAUGUGACAGAGAAAAACUGUAUAAGAAGCAUUUUAUACGGAGCUUAUUACCGCUGGUUCACAGGAUGUUUCCUUCAUCUUGUGACACGCUGGUGGCUCUACCUCCAUCCACUGUCGGCCAGCGUGUUAUUUUCGGAAAGAACUCGGAUAGACCCUGUGACGAGGUGCAGGAGGUGCUGUAUUACCCUGCAAAGGACUACAGUGCAGGAGAAAAAGUCGAGUGCACGUACGUUGAGAUAGAGCAGGUCCCACACACCUAUGCGAUAGUGCUGAGUCGCCCUGCUUGGC